rnacentral:rRNA from 1 species
GACAGAGGGUGCAAACGUUAUUCGGAAUUACUGGGCGUAAAGCGCGUGUAGGCGGCUAAGUAAGUCGGGCGUGAAAUCCCACGGCUCAACCGUGGAAGUGCACUCGAAACUGCAUAGCUAGAGUCCUGGAGAGGAAGGUGGAAUGCUUGGUGUAGAGGUGAAAUUCGUAGAUAUCAAGCGGAACACCGGUGGCGAAGGCGGCCUUCUGGACAGUGACUGACGCUGAGACGCGAAAGCGUGGGGAGCAAACAGG